UCCAGCCAGUCAGACGCCAGCAGAGUUAGAGGAGCGCGAGCCCCCUCUGCUUUGGAACCACUGAGCUUUCCUGUCGUCCAACGGCAGGCUCAGCCUUGCACGCGCUGUUGUGUUUCCACACAGGACAGGAGCAGGACACAGAGACACAGAGCAGGAACCAGAGACACUGAGCAGAACACGGAGACACGGAGCGGGACACAGAGACACGGAGUGGGACGGGGGCCGACCUGCCGGUGUCCCUUCAGAAGACACAGCCUGUGGACCAAUGACUGUGAUUCAUAUGGAUAAGCAGUAACUAACUGUAUCGAGUCAGACCCGUGGAGCCGGCUCACUGAGUGCCAGAUAUCCGGGUUUCGCAGACCGGAGCUUUCUUCAAGAAAGGACCGUGAGCUUCACUGAAGGAUGUAUCGGUACCUUGGCAGCGUGUAGGGACAUUAUCAUCCUAGAAAAGGAACGUUAGACUUCAGUUGUCAUUUACUGCUGACAGCCGAGCCCUGGCCGGCUGCUGUCACUCUUUUUCCGCAGUUUGGUGGAGUUCAGAAAGUCACUCAUGUUCCUCUGUGGGUAGAUGAAGGAAUAUGAUGUCACAGCCCGUGACAAGAGGCCCAGUUUUUGUUCACUUCUGUAACCAAUCCAAUAAGAUUCUGUCCCCACUGGUUGCUUUGAAAACUUAUGUGAAAUCAGUAAGCUGUUUGUGAGCUCUUCACUUGAACAUAUCUAUAACAUAAUAGUGUGAGUGCAUUUGGAGUCCUCUGAAUAGUUGCCAUCCUGUUCAUGUGCUGUUCCCAUUAUUUGGUCCAGCAGCUGCAGCUCCACUACAGCCUAUCUGUGCUCAGUGUGUGUAUCAGUGUGGGUUAUUCACAGUGCUGCUAUGCAGACUGACUGGAGCCACGCUCAGACAGCUCCACUGUAACCCCAGUUCUGAGGCAUAGGCCUGGACUGCCCUCACAGAAAGAAAGCUUUACAGCUGAGGAAAGCUCCCUGCUAGUCUCCGUCCAGAGGGACGACUUGUGUGGAAUAGCAGAUGUUACACAGCUUUGUGUACUAAUGUGGAUCAUUCAGGAUGCUGUUAUGCAGACAGAGUGGAGCCACAGAAAAUCUGCUGGUAAAGUUAAAGUAACACACAUGGCUGUGCAGCUUCUGUCAGUGCAGUUGGACAGCUUGUGUUACACAGUUGGCAGCUGAAGGUUUGUCAGGAAGGUAGUUGUUUUUUUUUUUUGUUGUUGUUUUUUUGCUGGGUUCGUGUAGUAUUGGCAAAACUCAGGCUGGUUAAGUAUGUGUACAUUAUGAAUUUGAACGUUUCAUGGACUGGGACCCAAAGUUCUGUCAGAAACAUAAAAGUCCACUCUGACUUUUUCAUAGUAAUGAAGCAAAUACUCCCAGCAGGUGAAAGUUUAGAGAGAUGACAAUCACAUAGUGAGUGACUGUGGAAUUGAAACAUUUUGUUGGACACUCCUGAAGACUUUGCAUUCAGUACACAUAGUUCAGUUUCACUUGCGUUUUGCAUAGUUGAAAAUUAAAUGUUUUGUUAACAGUGAUUUCACUUCACUUGUUUGUCGGUUACACUAAUUGUCUGAAAAUGAAGAACCCUCAUCCACUGUGUAAUACCUGGAAUAGGUCUGUUAGCAAAGACCCAGUCCUGAUCUCUGUGCCAGACACUAACAAGAAGUUCAAGAGGAAGUCUCGGGAGCCUAAAAGGCUUUUCAGUGGCCCCGAGCCUGAAAGGACGAAAAUCUACCCAGCAAACAUGUCGGAUGUGGACUCAGUAGAUGACACCCAGACGGAAGCAUCUAGUGUCAGCAGGUUGGCUCCAUUACAGAGACAGCUGAUGAUGUCACAGGAGGGGAUGGCCAGUACUACAGGGUUAGGGUCAGGACUACCAGAAGGCAACGUGGCUUCAGCUCAGAGUGGUGCCAUAGACAUGAGAAUUGGCAUUAAUGUACCUGCCAUCACUUCCAAACUGUCCCAGUUACCUUCAUCUCCAUUUUCUAACUCUGAGAUCUCCCACUGGCCCACAGCCAUUUCCCAGCCUCUGUCCAACAGACUCAAACUGGGCCUGCGCUCCACUUUCCCUCUGUCAACACCAACCAGCAGCAGCCACAGCCACUCACCCAGCCACCGGGCCUUCUCCCUGGAGCCAUCUCUGUCAGGCCAAACCGGAGCUCCACCUGUCCCCAGAGCCUCCCACACCUCCCAGUGUCAUGAACAUGUGGAGCCCCACGUCCAGUCUCCCAAGGAGUCUACCAGGAAGCGGGCUGGGGUGAGUGGUGAUGGACCUGGGCGUCUUCCAGAGGUUAAAGCCAUCCAGCAGACCAGGAGGCUUCUAGCCAACGCCCGAGAGAGGACCCGUGUCCACACCAUUAGUGCUGCAUUCGAGGCCCUGAGAAAGCAGGUGCCAUGUUACUCCUAUGGUCAAAAGCUAUCCAAGCUGGCAAUAUUACGUAUAGCCUGCAACUACAUCCUGUCUCUGGCUCAGUUGGCUGAGUUGGACUACAGUUCAGACCACAGCAGUCUGAACUUCUCGCAGUGUGUGGAGCAGUGUACCAGGACCCUGCAGGCCGAGGGGAGGAGCAAGAAGAGGAAGUUCCAGACACCAGAUGUUUAGAGUGGAGGGGAAGUGGAGCUGGCGCCAUGAAGGGCAGAGGGCAGCGAGAAGGAGUGAAGCUUACGACAGUGGAUGGGUCCAAUACAUGAACCUCUAACAAAGCUACAAGGAGAAUAUUGGAGGGGACAUAUGACAAGAUGAGGAUCAGAGAAAAGAUGAACAAGUGAAUAAAUGGAAGCGUAAAGAACAUUAAACAUACCUUUUUUUUUGUCAUGACUUUCUCUCACCACUCAUUAGCAGAGGAACUAACAUCAGUACUUAUCUGAGGUGUAAUUGUGAAAGUUCUGUACAUUAAGGCCACACCAUCAACGAAAGAGAUGCAAACUGACGAAGGGACUAAAAGAUUCAGCCCGUGGAAUCCCUCAGCAAUAACCUCCACUUAACUAUGCAUACAGCUGCACACAUUGUAUUGCUGUGCUCCAGGUCUGUUUUGGAGCCACUGUUGCCUUGCCAAUACCCUGUUUAAGUAUGUACUUCAUGGUAACACUCACUUUGAGCUGGUAAAAUCGCUAUCAGCAUGAAGCUUGUCUGGUCACUUAAAUAAGGAUCAAACUUUUGAACUCAAACAGCAGAUUUCACAACAGUUUAAGCAGCUCAUACAUUAAACAGUUUUUAAUAGUAGAUGUUUUAUAGUUUAUAAGCCUGUUAUAUUUCAAAAUAUGCCAGUUAUGUUUAUUCAGUACAAAUAAAAAGAUUUGAAAGAAA